AUUCAACCUUGUGCUUUGUUAAAAUGAAAUCAUUCUCAGCAAAACUAAGUUCUGGAAGCAUUGUGUGUGUGCGUGUGUGUCUUUAUAAAGAGAGGGAGAG